GGGUAGUCGGGGAGCUCCUGAGGACCUAGUGUACCCCGAUACGGUGCAUGAACUAGAUCCUGAGGGCAGUGCGGGGGUCACUGGAGGAUUUUCAAGGGGUCAGAUUUGUGUUCUGGAAAGAUCAUAUGGGCUGGGUCUGUGCCAGUCUGGUUUAUUACUGUUUUCCCAGCACCCAGCUCAGUGCCUGGCAUACAGUAGGUGCUCAAUAAAUGUCUUAAAUCAAUACACGAAUACCAACAGUGUACCCUGAGGUAGUGGUUAACUCCAGUCAUAGAACCUUGGGCCUCAGCUCCCUCCUUUGUAAAACGAGGGUAACAACCCUGUCUCUUGGGGGUGCCGAAAUGGCGGAGGGAUGGAGCUUGAGGCAGGGCUUUGCUCGGUGUCCUGCAUGAUGUCCAUGCUCCAUUACUCUCCCUUUCUGCUACGUGCACAGGACGCACUGUGGGCGAGGCUGCGGGCGAGAUGGAGGCAGGGAGCAGGGAGGACACGGAGCCACAGGGUAAGCACAGGACAGGUCCCUGCCUGGCGGCUGCGCACCACAAGACACAGGGACGCCAACUGGACUCCGUUACUGCCGCCUCGACCAGGUACAAGGGGAGGCCGAUUUCCACGGCGCUUUGUUAAAGCGAACUCUGUAUAAACAGUUCUAUACAAAGAUGUAGCGUAUGACUGCCGGCCGCCCCCUUCAUGCUCAGCGGUCGGGGACCGUCACGGUCCUGGGGCACAGUCUGAUGCAGCCAUUAACAAUGAUGUUUAGGGGUGCCUAACAUCAGUCCCUGGAGCUCAGGCCCUCGAGCAUCUGGCUCUUGAUUUCGGCUCAGGUCAUGACCUCAGGGUCAUGGCAUCGAGCCCCGAGUCGGGCUCCACGCUCAGCAGGGAGUCUGCUUGAGGUUCUCUCUCCCUCUGCCCCUCCCCCAGCUCGCAGGCUCUCUAAAUAAAUAAAUAAAUAAAUAAAUAAAUAUUUUUUUAUAAUGAUGUUUAUGGAGAAUUUUAAUGACCUAAGAAGUGUUUUCGGUCUCAUCUGAAGUGAAAACCAAGAUGUGACACGCUACGGGCGUGUGUGUAAUUCAAUAAAAAGCAAAAAGAAAAAACUACAUGCUGUGAGCUCGACCUCAUUUAACGACUGCAGGCAAAAACCUGAAAGAAACUCAAAAGCGCGAACCUUGCUAUUUCUGGGGGGUGCAAUUGCGAGUGACUGACACGUUUUCAGGGCUUCGUCGUUACCGCAUUUCCAGAUUUCUACCAUAAACGCUUUGAGAUGUUCAGGUUAUUUGAAUAAAGGCGCGGCGCGUCUCCCGUCUUCAAGGAGCCCCCGUCUCUGGAAAAUCUUCUUUUAGGGCCUGGGAGUGUGUGUAUACAUUUUGCAGCUGGAGGCAGAGCUUGGGUCAGCUAGGGGGGUGUGUUGACGGCAAAUAAUGGAAACCCAGUAACAUUGAGGGGGUUGCCCCCCCCCCCCCCGCCAGGUCACAGGAAGUCCCCGUUAGGCCACCCAGGGCUGCUGCGGCUCCAUGAUGCUGUCGUGGACAAUGCUGCUAUCAAAGAGCAGGCCUGUUAUGCCCCCCAAACCCCUGCCUUUCC
ensembl:lncRNA